AGAGCGAACGCUGGCGGCAGGCCUAAAACAUGCAAGUCGAACGGACCCUUCGGGGUUAGUGGCGGACGGGUGAGUAACACGUGGGAACGUGCCUUUUGGUUCAGAACAACUCAGGGAAACUUGAGCUAAUACUGAAUAAGCCCUACGGGGGAAAGAUUUAUCGCCAUUAGAGCGGCCCGCGUCUGAUUAGCUAGUUGGUGAGGUAAAGGCUCACCAAGGCUACGAUCAGUAGCUGGUCUGAGAGGAUGAUCAGCCACACUGGGACUGAGACACGGCCCAGACUCCUACGGGAGGCAGCAGUUAGGAAUCUUGCGCAAUGGGCGAAAGCCUGACGCAGCCAUGCCGCGUGAAUGAUGAAGGUCUUAGGAUUGUAAAAUUCUUUCAGUGGGGAAGAUAAUGACUGUACCCACAGAAGAAGCUCCGGCUAACUUCGUGCCAGCAGCCGC
rnacentral:rRNA from 1 species